rnacentral:lncRNA from 1 species
CCCACUCAAAAUUCAAUUUUGAGUACCCCUGCGUUCAGAUCGGAGCAAGAGGGACGAUAAGUGAGCCGAAAUUGUGGGCAAAGCCAGAGGGAGUUGCUGCGGCUAAAAUUCUAAAAUUCCUCCGAUAAGCCCAUUUCUAAGUUCUCAUUUCACAGAAUUUUUUUGAUCAUUGUGUUCACCGUUCUUUUUUGUGCAGGAUAAC